rnacentral:rRNA from 1 species
UACGUAGGGUGCGAGCGUUAAUCGGAAUUACUGGGCGUAAAGCGUGCGCAGGCGGUUCUGCAAGUCAGAUGUGAAAUCCCCGGGCUCAACCUGGGAACUGCGUUUGAAACUACAGAGCUAGAGUAUGGGAGAGGGAGGUAGAAUUCCACGUGUAGCAGUGAAAUGCGUAGAGAUGUGGAGGAAUACCAAUGGCGAAGGCAGCCUCCUGGCCUAAUACUGACGCUCAUGCACGAAAGCGUGGGGAGCAAACAGG